rnacentral:tRNA from 1 species
UCCUCUGUAGCUCAGUUGGUUGGAGCGCUGCACCGGAAUCGCAGGGAUGCAGGUUCAAUUCCUACCAGAGGAC